rnacentral:rRNA from 14 species
GUCUAUGGCCAUACCACCCUGAAUGCACCCGAUCUCGUCUGAUCUCAGAAGCUAAGCAGGGUCAGGCCUGGUUAGUACUUGGAUGGGAGAUU